AAUCUGGUUAAAACCGGUUUCUCUCUUAGCCUAAAUUUCAAUAUAAAUAGGUAAUAAACAUAUUGCUAUUCAUUUAUUUUCGUUAAGGCGCGACGCUGUACGCAACGAACGUGUCUAUUGUGUAUUAGCCAUCUGAAGAAGCAGACGUUUUUCUCUGACCAACGUCACUCUGCAAAUUCUUGACAAGAUGCCCAAGAGAAAGUCUGACAAAGCUGGAAAAGGCAGUGAGGAGCCAGCACGGCGCUCUGCACGGUUGUCAGCUAAACCAGCACCUGCAAAGGCAGCCCCCAAACCCAAAAAGGCAGCAGCACCGAAGAAAGCAGCCAAGGGAAAGAAGCCUGCUGAAAAUGGCGAUGCCAAGGCAGAUCAGGCACAGAAAGUCGAGGCUGCAGGAGAUGCCAAAUGAAGGGUUUUCUUUUGGAUACUUCUGUGUACUUGGUGACUGUACAGUUUGAAAUAACUAUUUUUUACCAAGUUUUAUAUGAAAAUAUCAUUUAUAGUUUCAUUGUUGGCUUAUAUUUGAUGUACUGAAAAUGUUUGAAAGUACUCUUGCAGUCAUAUCCAUUUUUAUGCCAGUGUUUAACAAACACCGUCCUUUCCCAGUUAAAAUGAUGUUUUAGACUCCUUUUUAAGUUUUAAAACUGCUGAAUGUUACAAAAAUGAUCUUUUUGUUUUGGUUUUUAAAAGCCUAAUUUUUAAAAUACCAAAUGUUAUCAUAAGGCAGCUAAAAGUGUAUUUGUAGAAAUGUUUGGAAGAAAAGCUUUUGAAACUUUUUUUUGUCUUUUUUUUUUUUUUUUUUGUCUUUUUUUUUUUAAAUCUCUGUAAUCAAUGAGUACUUGCAAACAUUAAGACCUUUUAGACACAGCAGUUGAACUAGUCACUAAAUUUGUUAAUUUAUGAUAGGAUACCAACCCUGAUCAGAUGUAUAAUGUGAAUUUAGCGAUUUGUUGAAACUGAUGAAAGUGUAAUUUUGUUAAAUAAAAAAAAAAAUGGUUGAAAACUUUUUGUGACUCAUAUACACGAUGUGUUGUAUGUGCUUUUGAAUAAAAACAUAAAAUCUA